rnacentral:rRNA from 1 species
GAUCAUGGCUCAGGACGAACGCUGGCGGCGCGCCUAACACAUGCAAGUCGAACGAGAGAGAAGGAGCUUGCUUCUUCGAUCGAGUGGCGAACGGGUGAGUAACGCGUGAGGAACCUGCCUCAAAGAGGGGGACAACAGUUGGAAACGACUGCUAAUACCGCAUAAGCCCACGGGUCGGCAUCGACCUGAGGGAAAAGGAGCGAUCCGCUUUGAGAUGGCCUCGCGUCCGAUUAGCUUGGG